UCUCCCUGUGCAAUGGAUAGCUCGUCUGCAUGGCAGCCCUGGUACCCGAAGAUGACCCGACAGGUGUAGGGGUAGGUGCGGGCAGCGUGCUUGGGCUCAGCCUCCUCAAACGUCUCAUCGCUGUCAUAGUCAUCGAACUCAGUGGGGUCCAGCCCCGUGGGUGCCUCUGUGCUGGGGGUGCGUGGGAGCUCCCCACCUGCCCGCACAGCCCCGGCCAGCCAGGAAUCCACAUCCAGCCCCGCCGUGCGCAGCAGUGCCAGCCGUGCCUCUGCCUUCGCCCUGCCAACCUCUGCCUUCCAGAUGUUUUCUCGCACUUCCUCCAUCUGC
rnacentral:lncRNA from 1 species